rnacentral:rRNA from 1 species
UCGAGAAUCUUUCACAAUGGGGGCAACCCUGAUGGAGCGACGCCGCGUGGAGGAUAAGGUCUUCGGAUUGUAAACUCCUGUCAUGUGUGAACAAGGCUGUCCUGUUAAUAGCAGGGCAGAUUGAUGGUAACACAAGAGGAAGAGACGGCUAACUCUGUGCCAGCAGCCGCGGUAAUACAGAGGUCUCAAGCGUUGUUCGGAAUCACUGGGCGUAAAGGGUGCGUAGGUGGCGUGGUAAGUCAGAUGUGAAAGCCCGGGGCUCAACCUCGGAAUAGCAUCCGAUACUACCAUGCUAGAGUACUGAAGAGGUGACUAGAAUUCUCGGUGUAGCAGUGAAAUGCGUAGAUAUCGAGAGGAAUACCAACGGCGAAGGCAGGUCACUGGGCAGUUACUGACACUGAGGCACGAAGGCCAGGGGAGCAAACG